CUUGCUCUGGUUGAUCAGUGGCGAACGGGUGAGUAACACGUGAGUAACCUGCCCUUGACUCUGGGAUAACUCCGGGAAACCGGGGCUAAUACCGGAUACGAGACGCGACCGCAUGGUCGGCGUCUGGAAAGUUUUUCGGUCAAGGAUGGACUCGCGGCCUAUCAGCUUGUUGGUGAGGUAAUGGCUCACCAAGGCGUCGACGGGUAGCCGGCCUGAGAGGGCGACCGGCCACACUGGGACUGAGACACGGCCCAGACUCCUACGGGAGGCAGCAGUGGGGAAUAUUGCACAAUGGGCGAAAGCCUGAUGCAGCGACGCCGCGUGAGGGAUGAAGGCCUUCGGGUUGUAAACCUCUUUCAGUAGGGAAGAAGCGAAAGUGACGGUACCUGCAGAAGAAGCGCCGGCUAACUACGUGCCAGCAGCCGCGGUAAUACGUAGGGCGCAAGCGUUGUCCGGAAUUAUUGGGCGUAAAGAGCUCGUAGGCGGUUUGUCGCGUCUGGUGUGAAAACUCAAGGCUCAACCUUGAGCUUGCAUCGGGUACGGGCAGACUAGAGUGUGGUAGGGG
rnacentral:rRNA from 1 species